AAAACCACACAACUAUUCUCUUUACUCAGUCUUCUCAGCUGCAACUUCUGCUUCUUCCUUCUUCUCCUCAACUUCUUCCUUAACUUCAUCUUUUGGGGCUCCAACUGCUGGUUCAGCUUCUGGUUCUGCUGCUGGUGCAUCAGCAGACUCGGUUGUCUCUUUCGCCACCUCAGGCUCCUCCUUUGGAGACUCCUCCUUAGUCUCCUCCACAACAGCAGGCUCCUCAGGUGUUUCCUUAGGAGUUUCUUCUUCAGUUUUUUCUACCGCUGCUGGCUCUUCUGUGACGACAACCCCCUUAGUCUGAUCUUCUACCACCUCUGUAGUCUCAACUGCUUCAGUUGGAGUCUCAUCAUUCUUUUGUGCCUCAGGUUCUUCAGUUGUCUCUUCUUCCUUUGGCUUUUCAUCAGCUACUACUUGCUCUGCUGUUGGUGCUUCUACAGUGACUGCAGCCUCUUCUUUUACGGUCUCUGGUGCCUUCGGUUCUUCUAUUUUUUCCUCUGCUGGAAGGGCAGUCUGUGCUGAUACUACCUGAAAAUAUUUAUACCUCAUGCAUCAAGAAAAUUUAUAGUCGUAAAAUGCUAGCCCUAAUAAAAUAUGUUAAUUAAUAAAUGUUUCUUGUUUUAUAUAUAUUUAGAAUUGUUGAACCAAGGAGAUCAGGAGGAGAUCUUCAGUUAGGCUGACAGACCUACAAUAUCAUAUCUCCCCACCAAUGAUUUAUUAAUAAACCCAUCAAAUGCUCUUCAAUAUAUGUCAAACCAUUUUUCUUAUCAGCAAAAGAUUCACAAGACUAAGAGAUAAUACUAGAAAUCAUACAUACAAACAUUUUCACCUACAUGGCAGCACCAAGAAUUCAAGAUCACGAUCAUUAUGAACAUGUUUAUGACUUUCUUUCUUUCUUUCUUUCUUUUUUUUUUUUUUUUUUUAUAGCAGAAUACUCAUAUCUCGAUGAUGUUAUCUGCAUAUGUAUUAUAUAGUUAACAUCAUCAAGAUCAAGAUAAAUGUAUAUAUACAUAAAUGGAUGUUUUGCUAUGUAUGCUAGCUAUACGUUAAACCAAGAACCUUAUGAAAAUCUUAACAAGAAAUUGAUGGAUUACCUCAACAGUUGCCAUUGGAGCUCAAGAAAAUUGUAAAAGAAGGCUAAAGAUGAAUAAACUGAGAAGCGAAGAAGGGAGUAACUAAAGGAAAUAGAGUAUGAGAAAGAGAUAGGCUUUGA
rnacentral:lncRNA from 1 species